rnacentral:piRNA from 1 species
UAAUGUCCCUGGUGGAGGUAACCACCUUUGCC